UCACUUGAGGAUGGGCCUGCGGCGCAUUAGCUAGUUGGUGGGGUAACGGCCCACCAAGGCGACGAUGCGUAGCCGACCUGAGAGGGUGAACGGCCACACUGGGACUGAGACACGGCCCACACUCCUACGGGAGGCAGCAGUAGGGAAUCUUCCGCAAUGGGCGAAAGCCUGACGGAGCAACGCCGCGUGAGUGAUGAAGGUUUUCGGAUCGUAAAGCUCUGUUGCCAAGGAAGAACGUCUUCUAGAGUAACUGCUAGGAGAGUGACGGUACUUGAAAAAAAGGCCCCGGCUAACUACGUGCCAGCAGCCGCGGUAAUACGUAGGGGGCAGGCGUUGUCCGGAAUUAUUGGGCGUAAAGCGCGCGCACGCGGUUCUUUAAGUCUGGUGUUUAAACCCGAGGCUCAACUUCGGGUCGCACUGGAAACUGGGGAACUUGAGUGCAGAAGAGGAGAGUGGAAUUCCACGUGUAGCGGUGAAAUGCGUAGAUAUGUGGAGGAACACCAGUGGCGAACGCGACUCUCUGGGCUGUAACUGACGCUGACGCGCGAAAGCGUGGGGAGCAGACAGGAUUA
rnacentral:rRNA from 1 species